UAAACAUCGAAGGCGGAUGGAACACUUAUCUUCCCACCAAAGGUCCCUGCCAUUUUGGUCCUUUAUCACGCCCAUCUUUCUCUUUAUAUCUCCAAUUUUUGGAAGAAAAUGAAAAUUAAAGAGAUGACAAGACUGAACAUCGACAUCUUAGGAAUCAGUGAACUAAAAGGGGCAGGAAUGGGUGAAUUUAAUUCCGAUGACCAUCAGGUAUACAUCCCUCAGAAGAAAUGGAGUAUUCUUCAUAGUCACUAAAAGAGUAGGAAAAGCAAUACUGGGAUACAAUCCCCAAAAUGACACAAUUGAAAAGACUUCAGAGGAAACACAAGCAACAAAAAGCAGUAAUGGCGGACUCUGUUGGCAUGUCCACCCAAAGAUUCAAUGGUUGACAUAUGACAACAAUGGGUGUUGGUGAAAAUAAAAAUAAUCACUAUGUAAAUAGAGUAAAAAUUUAUUUAAAAAAAAAAGUUCGGUGGCCAAAUUGUAAAUAUACAUCUCUGAGACUGAAAAAAAAAAAAGAACAGGUCACCUUUUGGAAAUUACCAGCCUCGUUUGGGAAUCAAUGAGCAAUGACAGUGCUGGGAAAAUAUGAAAAAUGACCAAAUUUAAGAUAUUUGCAGUGUCCCUCAGUCCCUAAUCACUUUACAGUCAGUAUGGGAUUGAGUAUCCUGUGUCUGACCUGUUGUUCCCUUCCUUGCAGAGCAGAGAGAUUGGAAAGGAAAGGAUUACAGGAAAGUAAGCAGGUACACAUUGGGGAAUAAAUAUUGAAAGUAAUGUAAUGGCACCAGAGUCGCAAACAUGCUAUGCAAACAGCAUGGUGUGUUACCAUUGUGUGUAAGUCUGCAUCUUGUAAUUCCUUUCCAAUCUUUCUGCUCUGCUGGGGAGGUGGAAUUGCAUCGGACAGAAAAGAUUGCCUACAAAAAGUGCUUCUAUUACCCCCCUACCCUCCCCUCCACCCCCAUGGAAAAAUGAGAGAGGAAGGGAUUACAAAAGAGUAAGCAGGCACAAUGGGAAAAAUGCUGGAUUGUUUGCAUAGUGUGUUCUGAAAUGCUGGCGCCAGUACAUUACUUUCAAUGUAUAUUCCCCAUUGGGUGUCUAGUUACUCUCUUCUAAUUUCUUUUAUUUCCAAUGAUUGUAGAUACAAAUACUGUAACAAUUCUCAUUUUAAUUAUUCCAGCACCAAGGUGAGCAUUCCUUAGGUUGGUGGAAUAGUUAGAAGGCAAACAAAAGCCAAAGGUUUCAGGCUGGAUAUCCUAGUGCUGCGGGGUGAGCACUCCAAAAGAUAG